GAGACCUUGGUGUGUCACAUGGACAUGAUAUAAUGAAAAGGCAGGAGCGCUGCGCCGGAGAGCGCACUAAGUUCUCAGCUGAUGGAGAACGGGGCGGAAAUGUACGCAGUCAUUCUGCUGUCAGUGCGAACGGGAGGAGCGAGCGUGGCCGAACCUAACCGAACCGGGCCGGACCGCGGGCGGACAUGGGAUGGGACUGCACCUUCGCACCCAGUAAAAAACAGAGAGCGGGCCCGGAAAGGAGGAGCAGCCUUCAACGUUUCAGUUGGAUUUAAUGUAUGCAGCAGAAGUUCUCCAGCUUCUAAUCCUCAAACAAGCAGAACGCGACCAACGAACGUCUAGCAAGAAGAGGCAGCAGGAUGAGACGGGCAGACCAGCAGGGUGACAUCAUCGCUAACCGUGGGAGCCUAGCCUGCUGGUUAUGCCAGCGGUGCGACUGCGUGUCACUUCCUGGGAGAAAAUGGAACAGGAAACCAGAGAGGGAGAGAGAGAGGUGACAAGUGAGAGCUUUAACUCCAUAAUGAAGCCUUUCUCCAGCAACAGGGAAUGGAGUCCUGCUAAUGUGUGUGUGUGUGUACAGCUCUGUGUAAGUGUGUUUCUCACACACUUUGUCAGCUCAGAAACCUCUUUAAAGCUUUUAACAGCUUGUCAACACUUUAUUUUGACUACGCAGUUACAGCAGGAACUCUGUGGAGGAAAGGGCCCUAACCCUAACCCUUUUUCACUGAGUCAGGGAUUUCUUUCUCUGAACAAUUUUUUAAAAGAACAGUUUGGAGCUGUGGUGUGAGAUGGAGAGAGAAAAAAAAAUCUAAAAUCAGGAGCUGUUGAUGCUGUUUGAGUUUGGCUAAGCUGAUCUGCAGAGUUAGAGCUUUACAGAUGGCCUUUCAUUCAGUCAUUUGGAAUAUCUUCAAAGAUUCAAACAUUUAAAAUAUUAUAUAAAUUCAUUGCACACAAAUGAUUGUGUGUGUAGUGAACAUUUCACACCUAACUGUGAUGAUUAUGGCUUACAUCUCAGAAACAUCCUAAUUCAGUUUCUCGUUAUGUAAUGAACAACACAGUUAUGGGGAAGAAUCCUGACUCGACAUUUUCCCAGCAGAUACGUAGUCUGGUAGAAACCACAUCCUAGUUCUGCGCUUCGUCUCACUUAGCUUCGUCUAGAGGGUCCGGACGCUCGGCUGUUGAGAAACGAUUACUUCCUGGAGGCGUGGCCUGGUGAAGUUAUAAACAAUUAGGUCUGAAUUUACCCAAUUGCUAACGUUUGGCCGGGCGUAUGCCAUGGAGAAAACAGGGCCACAACAUAUUUGCUUUCAAUAAACUGUCUUGAACAUUCUUCUUGCCCCGAUUUGAUCUGUUCCAUAUUUGGAAGUGUGGCCAACACGGACUGAACGGUUUUAUUCACUUCCUCCGCUGCCAUCGUUAAAAC